rnacentral:rRNA from 1 species
UACGGAGGGUGCAAGCGUUAUCCGGAUUUACUGGGUUUAAAGGGUGCGUAGGUGGGUAGGAAAGUCAGUGGUGAAAUCUUCGGGCUUAACCCGGAAACUGCCAUUGAUACUAUUUAUCUUGAAUACUUUGGAGGUAAGCGGAAUAUGUCAUGUAGCGGUGAAAUGCUUAGAUAUGACAUAGAACACCAAUUGCGAAGGCAGCUUACUACACAGUUAUUGACACUG